rnacentral:rRNA from 1 species
UGGGGAAUAUUGCACAAUGGGGGAAACCCUGAUGCAGCGACGCCGCGUGAACGAAGAAGGUAUUCGUAUCGCAAAGUUCUGUCCUAUGGGAAGAUAAUGACAGUACCAUAGAAGAAAGCUCCGGCUAAAUACGUGCCAGCAGCCGCGGUAAUACGUAUGGAGCGAGCGUUGUCCGGAAUUAUUGGGCGUAAAGGGUACGCAGGCGGUUUAAUAAGUAGAAUGUUAAAGAUCGGGGCGCAACCCCGCAAAGCAUUGGAAACUGAUAAACUUGAGUAGUGGAGAGGAAAGUGGAAUUGCUAGUGUAGUGGUGAAAUACGUAGAUAUUAGGAGGAAUACCAGUAGCGAAGGCGACUUUCUGGACACAAACUGACGCUGAGGUACGAAAGCGUGGGGAGCAAACAGG